CCUACGGGUGGCAGCAGUGGGGAAUAUUGCACAAUGGGGGAAACCCUGAUGCAGCAACGCCGCGUGAGUGAAGACGUACCUCGGUAUGGUAAGCUCUAUUAGUAGGGAAGAAAAUGACAGUACCUGUCUAAGAAGCCCCGGCUAACUACGUGCCAGCAGCCGCGGUAAUACGUAGGGGGCAAGCGUUAUCCGGAUUUACUGGGUGUAAAGGGAGCGUAGACGGGUGCGCAAGUCAGAAGGGAAAGCCCGGGGCUCAACCGGGGGACUGCUUUUGAAACUGUCUAGCUAGAGUGCAGGAGAGGUAAGUGGAUUUCGUGGUGUAGCGGUGAAAUGCGUAGAUAUUAGGAAGAACCCCGAUGGCGAAGGCAGCUUACUGGACUGUAACUGACGUUGAGGCUCGAAAGCGUGGGGAGCAAACAGGAUUAGAUACCCCGGUAGUC
rnacentral:rRNA from 1 species